rnacentral:rRNA from 1 species
CCUACGGGUGGCAGCAGUGGGGAAUAUUGCACAAUGGGGGAAACCCUGAUGCAGCGAAGCCGCGUGAGGGAAGAAGGAUUUCGGGAUGUAAAGCUCUAUCAGCAGGGAAGAAAAUGACGGUACCUGAUUAAGAAGCACCGGCUAACUACGUGCCAGCAGCCGCGGUAAUACGUAGGGGACAAGCGUUAUCCGGAUUUACUGGGGGUAAAGGGGGCGUAGACGGCAGCAAAAGUCUGGAGGGAAAUGCAUGGGGUUAACCCCCGAACUGCUUUGGAAACUGUGCAGCUAGAGUGCAGGAGAGGAAAGUGGAAUUCCUAGUGUAGCGGUGAAAUGCGUAGAUAUUAGGCGGAACCCCAGUGGCGAAGGCGGCUUACUGGACUCUAACUGACGUUGAGGCUCGAAAGCGCGGGGAGCAAACAGGAUUAGAUACCCCUGUAGUC